GGUAUUCUUAGUGAGCAUUGCUCACAGUACCUCUUGUUUUAACAGUUUUUUGUUUUUUUUUUACAAUAACUAUCGGAAAAGACUAACAAAAUUUAUGUUCCUAUCAUGCAUAAAUCUAAAUAAAUCAUUGAUUUUGCAAAAUCUGAUGACAUCAUAGGAGGGUGGAAUUACUUUAAGUUAUGUUUAGUGCUGUGUGUAUAUAAACAUGCACUCAUAUAAUUAUAUCUUCCCUCUUCCAGGGGGAGACAUAUUGUAUUUGUACUUUCUGUCCGUCCUUCCUUCUGUCACAAAAUCUUGUGAACGCUUCUCCACCUAUAUGGCUUAUCAGAUAGACUUGAAACUUUGUACAAUGCUUCAUUGUCAUUUACAGAUGUGAAUAUUGUUGGGACGGGAGGAUCCAAUUGUUUUCCUAAGAGUUAUAGUGGAUCUAAGAGGGGUGGAAGAUGUAAAAUAGCUUAUGAACUCUUCUCCUCCCAUAUGGCUUAUUGGAUAGACUUGAAACUUUGUACAAUGCUUAAUUGUCAUUUGUAGAUGUGCAUAUUGUCGGAAUGGGAGGAUCCAAAGUUUUUCCUAAAAGAUAUAGUGGAUCUAAAAGGGGUGGAGGAUGUUAAAAUACCUUGUGAACACUUCUCCUAUAUGGCUUAUCUGAUAGACUUGAGAAUUUGUACAAUGCUUCAAUGCCAUUUGUAGAUGUGUAAGUUGUAGGGACAGGAGGAUCCAAUUGCUAUCCUUAAAGUUAAAGUGGAUCUGAGGGGUGUAGGGUAUAAAAUAGUUUGUGAACGCUUCUCCUCCUAUAUGGCUUAUCAGAGUUCAUGUCUAUCUUCCUGCCCAUGCUUUCUCCUUCAUACUAUUCAAUACAUUAAGGGGGAUGUUUCCUAUAUUUUACGAAUUAAUUGGUUGAUUGACAACAAACUUGGUACACUUGUACAGCAUAUAUAAGGAGUAGAUGACCCCUAUUGAUUCUUAGGUCACAUGGUCAGUCCACUCUUGACAUAGGAAGGUAUUGUCUGCUCAAUAUUUUGAAUUGGUGAUACUACUAUCAAUUAAAUGAGGCACGGGUAUAACCCUUUCAAUUUUGCAACUUGGGGGCAUAUGUGUUUUAGAAACAUCUCUUGUGUUGUAUUAUAUGAAUUACAGGUUUUAGUGUGCUCAGUUUAGAGAAUAGCAUAAAAGUAUUUGAUAAUUAAAUAUCUUGCAGAUUGGCAGUUUACUCCAUGCACCGACAGGAAUGAUAAACUGUGAUAUUCGUAAAUGGAACUGGGACACGUUCUAAAUAUACUCAGGGACAGAAUGAUGUGCAGCAAGGCUCGUCAUGGAUUUUACCAAAUACAGAACACUGCAAGGCUUGCAAAAUGAAGACCUCAGUAAAAAAAAAUUCUAAAUUAUCCACUAAUGGCAGCUCACUACCUGCCCCUAGUGAUGUUAAAAGAGGCCGUUGUUCUCAUUUGUUCCAAAACAGGAAUGGCAUAUGAGGAGGCCAACAGAAGAUGCACCUCCACUGACCUCCACUGAGUGUGCACUCACAAAACGAAUAAAUUAUUAUUAUUUCUUUUGUUUGUAAUUGUAUGUUGUCAACAAGGUCAAAGGCACUUGAUCCGAUGCCAAACUUUUGCAUUUCUUUUGCUUUGUGGUAAAUUUUCUUCAGCAACAUCAACAUUGUUUAAAUUGUUUUCUUUGGAGAGUAUACAUGUACACAUGGAUCAUUUGUAUAUUAGAAUUAUAGCAUUGUUUAAUUCAACUCAUUCUUAUCCUAGAGAUGUUAUUAUAUACUGCAGGCAACGACUUGUAAAGGGUAUACUGUUUUAACUCACGUGCAAGGCAAGGCAGUAUUAUGAAACUCUGUAGUUGAUAAGGACAUAUAUCACAUAUCGAUAUGCAUAUUUACAGGAAACUCUGAUGUAUUUUAAAUCUGAACGUUAAUUUAAAAGUGGGGAGAAAUAGCAUUGGAUGAAAAAAGACACAUAUGAAGAAAAUUAUUCCAUACGUAAAUACUUUUUAGCUCACCUGAGCUGAAAGCUCAAGUGAGCUUUUCUGAUCGCCUGUUGUUCAUUGUCUGUCCGUGAUUAAACAUUUUAUAUUUUCUCCAGAAGCAAUGGGCCAAUAAUAACCAAACUUAGCCAAAAGUAUCCUUGGGUAAAGGGCUUUCGAGUUUGUUCAAAUGAAGGGCCAUGCCCUCUUCAAAGGGGAGAUGACCACAAAAAUAGGGUGGGUCAUUUAAUUUUUUUUUAUCAAGAACCACUGGGCCAGAAGAGCUAAAAUGUACAUGAAAGCUUCUUGACAUAGUACAGAUUCAAGUUUAUUGAAAUCAUGGCCUCCAGGGGUUGUAUGGGGCCACAAUAGAGAAUCAAAGUUUUACAUACAAUUAUUCAGGAAAAAUCUUUCAAUAUGAGCCAAGGUGGCUCAGGUGAGCGAUGUGGCCCAUGGGCCUCUUGUUCAACAUAUAGAAUAAAUACAUGUAGUUAUGUUGUAUUUCCCAUGGAACAUUGAAACGUUUAAUGCGUUUACCAAUUAAUCACUGAAAGAAAGAUAAAAUUGUUGUUUCAUAUGUUUUAUGAAAACUUAAAUUUUUUUUCAUUUCUUUUCAUGAAAGACCCCUUAAUUACCCAGUAAUAUAUAAUCAAUUCUUAACAGAUUAUGUAAAUUUGAUUUAUAUUAAGGAUGUUUGAUCUGAUUACCCAUCAUUAUCAAUCUGUCUAAUAUAGCCAUCAUGUGUUACUAUUGCUACGCAAUCUUGGAGCAUGAGGUAGAAUGCGAGCCAGCUCUUUCAUAAGUACAUGCAUCUGGAAAAUAUAUUUCAAUGUCAAAGGUUACAACAAUGUGAUAAUGUAAUCAUUGUAUGUCUAAGGUCUUGAUAAUAAAACUGUUAUCU